rnacentral:rRNA from 1 species
UGGGGAAUUUUGGACAAUGGACGAAAGUCUGAUCCAGCCAUGCCGCGUGCGGGAAGAAGGCCUUCGGGUUGUAAACCGCUUUUGUCAGGGAAGAAAUGCUUUGGGCUAAUACCUCGAAGGGAUGACGGUACCUGAAGAAUAAGCACCGGCUAACUACGUGCCAGCAGCCGCGGUAAUACGUAGGGUGCAAGCGUUAAUCGGAAUUACUGGGCGUAAAGCGUGCGCAGGCGGUUCUAUAAGACAGAUGUGAAAUCCCCGGGCUCAACCUGGGAACUGCAUUUGUGACUGUAGAGCUGGAGUGCGGCAGAGGGGGAUGGAAUUCCGCAUGUAGCAGUGAAAUGCGUAGAGAUGCGGAGGAACACCAAUGGCGAAGGCAAUCCCCUGGGCCUGCACUGACGCU